UAGUCCACGCCGUAAACGAUGUCUACUAGCCGUAGGGUUCCUUGAGGACUUUGUGGCGCAGCUAACGCGCUAAGUAGACCGCCUGGGGAGUACGGUCGCAAGAUUAAAACUCAAAUGAAUUGACGGGGGCCCGCACAAGCGGUGGAGCAUGUGGUUUAAUUCGAUGCAACGCGAAGAACCUUACCAGGUCUUGACAUCCUGAAAAUUUAGCAGAAAUGCUUUAGUGCCUUCGGGAAUUCAGUGACAGGUGCUGCAUGGCUGUCGUCAGCUCGUGUCGUGAGAUGUUGGGUUAAGUCCCGUAACGAGCGCAACCCUUGUCCUUAUUUGCCAGCACGUAAUGGUGGGAACUCUAAGGAGACUGCCGGUGACAAACCGGGAGGAAGGUGGGGACGACGUCAAGUCAUCAUGGCCCUUACGACCUGGGGCUACACACGUGCUACAAUGGAACGCACAGAGGGGUUGCAGCCUCGCGAGAGUGAGCUAAUCCCACAAAACGUUUCGU
rnacentral:rRNA from 1 species